rnacentral:rRNA from 1 species
CAGUAGCCACGGGAAUACAGAGGAUGCAAGCGUUGUCCGGAAUGGUUGGGCGUAAAGCGUCUGUAGGUGGCUUUUCAAGUCCGCCGUCAAAUCCCAGGGCUCAACCCUGGACAGGCGGUGGAAACUACCAAGCUAGAGUACGGUAGGGGCAGAGGGAAUUUCCGGUGGAGCGGUGAAAUGCGUUGAGAUCGAAAAGAACACCAACGACGAAAGCGCUCUGCUGGGUCGACACCGACACUGAGAGACGAAAGCUAGGGGAGCAAAUGGGAUUAGAGACCCCCGUAGUCCCUGUCUCUUAUAC